rnacentral:rRNA from 1 species
AACGAACGCUGGCGGCAUGCCUAACACAUGCAAGUCGAACGAGACCUUCGGGUCUAGUGGCGCACGGGUGCGUAACGCGUGGGAACCUGCCCUUAGGUUCGGAAUAACUCCCCGAAAGGGGUGCUAAUACCGGAUAAUGUCUUCGGACCAAAGAUUUAUCGCCUUUGGAUGGUCCCGCGUUGGAUUAGCUAGUUGGUAGGGUAAAAGCCUACCAAGGCGACGAUCCAUAGCUGGUCUGAGAGGAUGAUCAGCCACACUGGGACUGAGACACGGCCCAGACUCCUACGGGAGGCAGCAGUGGGGAAUAUUGGACAAUGGGCGAAAGCCUGAUCCAGCAAUGCCGCGUGAGUGAUGAAGGCCUUAGGGUUGUAAAGCUCUUUUACCCGGGAUGAUAAUGACAGUACCGGGAGAAUAAGCUCCGGCUAACUACGUG